GUACCGGAGAGUCAGGUAAUGUACUGGAGAACCAGGUAAUGUACCGGAGAGUCAGGUAAUGUACUGGAGAGCCAGGUAAUGUACUGGAGAGUCAGGUAAUGUACUGGAGACCCAGGUAAUGUACUGGAGAGUCAGGUAAUGUACUGGAGAGUCAGGUAAUGUACUGGAGAGCCAGGUAAUGUACUUGAGUCCCAGGUAAUGUACUGGAGAGUCAGGUAAUGUACUGGAGAGUCAGGUAAUGUACUGGAGACCCAGGUAAUGUACUGGAGUCCCAGGUAAUGUACUGGAGAGUCAGGUAAUGUACUGGAGACACAGGUAAUGUACUGGAGAGUCAGGUAAUGUACUGGAGACCCAGGUAAUGUACUGGAGUCCCAGGUAAUGU